ACCACCAAGGAGCAACUGAAAGAACGCUGCAACAAGAAAUCAGUCUGUAGCCUAAAACCCAGCAACGACCUGUGGGGCAGCGAUCCCUGCCCGGGCACAGCUAAACUUCUCCGCAUCGAAUACGAAUGCAAAUAAUUAGUCAGCCUCUAACCAAGUGACGUCAUCUUGGACUUCCGGACAUCUUUGCCAGUUCAAGAACCAAGACGGAGUUCAUCUCAAUAUGAAGUUAUCAAUUACUUUCGAUUUUUCAUAUUUCAUAUCUCGAUUAAAUUGAAACGGCGAUGCCUUUCGGAAAGACGUUUGUUUAUAACUCACGUACGGUGAAUUUCUCUUAUAUUUGUAAUAUCAGUGAAUUAAAAUAUAAAAGGUUUAGGAAAAUUGG